GGAAGUAAAAGUCGUAACAAGGUUUCCGUAGGUGAACCUGCGGAAGGAUCAUUAAUGAUUGCGAAUGGUUGCCUUCGGUGCUGGCUCUUGCAAGUGCACGUUGGUGGCUUUCAUCCAAUACCCUUUGUGAACCUUUGGCCUCUUGCUAGCUUCGGCUGGCAGAGGAUUUUUACACACACUCGAAUGUAAUGAAAACUAUUGUCGUGCGCAAGCACUAAUGUACAACUUUCAACAACGGAUCUCUUGGCUCUCGCAUCGAUGAAGAACGCAGCGAAAUGCGAUAAGUAAUGUGAAUUGCAGAAUUCAGUGAAUCAUCGAAUCUUUGAACGCACCUUGCACCCUUUGGCAUUCCGAAGGGUAUGCUCGUUUGAGUGUCAUUGUACUCUCACACUYUCCGAUCCUAUGGAUUCGGGGAGCGGUGGACUUGGGUGUUGCUGCUUUCCUUGUGGCUCACCUCAAAUGCGUCAGUGCACCUCUUGGUUGGACAUAGUACGGCGUGAUAAGUGUCUUCGCCGGCACCUCGCAAGAGGGUGGCCGAUCGGGAGCUCUGUGCUUUCAAACCGUCUUCGGACAAUUUCUGACAACUUGACCUCAAAUCGAGUAGGACUACCCGCUGAACUUAAGCAUAUCAAU
rnacentral:rRNA from 1 species